GGACAAGCCCACUAGAGGCUUUGGGAGAUUCACAAGUCAGAAACCCACAAACCCACUCUCUGGGAGGCAGAGUCAAUUCAUUCCAACUUCUACCUUUGUGCUGGCUGGAGGGUUUAGAUUUGGAAGGAGCUAGAGGUUGAAGUUGGCAGAGGCAAAGGACAAGGGGCAAGAGCUUUUGGAACCAAGGAGAGAGAUAGGCCUCUAAGAAAACUAACUGGGCUAUUUUGGAAGAGACAAUAAAGGACUGGACUUUAACUCCUGGCUGCAUUUGAGAUAAUUAUUACACUGAAUUGAAAGGAAGGCUGCCUCCAGAAGCUUCCCAAGAAACCUGCUCCCAAAGAACAUAUUUUCAGAGAAGAGAACAUUACAUUUUGGCGCCCGAAUGUGGGAAAGACACAAUCCUGAUCUCAGUGGAAAAGCCUCUGAUCCUGAUUUCAGUGGAAAAGUCUCCUUGACCCAGAAAUUAGGUUCUUCAGUACUGCUGGUUCCAUGUCUUAUAAUCAUAUGACAACUGUAAAAUAUUGGCAUUAAAAAAGAGAGGCUUUUGUUUGAGGAAGAUAUCUGGGGUCAUUAAAAGGGCGUCUCCGCCUUCCUGAGAAAUCAGGAAGCUUGACAACCUGAGAAGUCAGGAGGCAUGACAACCUGUGUUGUUCUUGAAGCAGAGUUAUGGCAAGGAAACAUCUGCACACAAUAGCAAGUUGUUUAUGUGGUCCUGCAUGUGCAGUAUCCUAAUAAACAGACUCUGUUAGACCAUCCUCAUGAGUUCCGCCUCAUCACUCCUCACCCAUGAUCAGGACUUGGGCUGGUACCGAAGACCUCCCGUGGGCAGGUCCAGACAAAAUCCAACCUCAGACACCUACUAGUUGUUUGAGCCUGCGCAAGUCACUUAACCCUGAUUUGUCUAGGUUUCCUGGAGCUAGAAAAGGAAAUGGCAAAGCAUGUCAAUAUUUCUGCUAAGAAAACCUCAGGUGCAAGAUGGCCUGACCAUCCACACAGGAAAUAUCAAGUGGAUAAAGAAUUAUUUCAUCUGCUUAGAUAAUGACAAUUCUAAAAGAGUCACACACAACUGAAGAGAUUCAACAACAACAGCAAGAGUGAGCUUGGCAACCAGGAAACUCUGGCAAGUCAUUAACCUGCUUUAUCUUUGUGUUCACCAUUUCCUUUGACAAAUGUAAACAAUACCACCUUCUCUACCAAUGCUCUCACAGGUUCACUGCAGCUGUGUAGCUCAUACAAGGUGGCUGGUCUUCCCACAUUCAAGAUGGAAUUAGUUGGAGUCAAAGCAGACAAAGGAAUCCUCCUUUCAAAGUAAAUAUUAAAAGGAAGAUGAGAUCAAAUAUUUUUCAGUCCUUGAAAUAAUCUGCAAGUCACCUUUAUACAUAAAAAAU
rnacentral:lncRNA from 1 species